rnacentral:rRNA from 1 species
UACGUAGGGGGCAAGCGUUGUCCGGAUUUAUUGGGCGUAAAGAGCGUGUAGGCGGCUAGGUAGGUCCGUUGUGAAAACUCGAGGCUCAACCUCGAGACGUCGAUGGAAACCAUCUAGCUAGAGUCCGGAAGAGGAGAGUGGAAUUCCUGGUGUAGCGGUGAAAUGCGCAGAUAUCAGGAAGAACACCCGUGGCGAAGGCGACUCUCUGGUACGUGACUGACGCUGAGACGCGAAAGCGUGGGGGAGCAAAACAGG